rnacentral:rRNA from 1 species
AAAUUGAAGAGUUUGAUCAUGGCUCAGAUUGAACGCUGGCGGCAGGCCUAACACAUGCAAGUCGAGCGGUAGCACAGAGAGCUUGCUCUCGGGUGACGAGCGGCGGACGGGUGAGUAAUGUCUGGGAAACUGCCUGAUGGAGGGGGAUAACUACUGGAAACGGUAGCUAAUACCGCAUAACGUCGCAAGACCAAAGUGGGGGACCUUCGGGCCUCAUGCCAUCAGAUGUGCCCAGAUGGGAUUAGCUAGUAGGUGGGGUAACGGCUCACCUAGGCGACGAUCCCUAGCUGGUCUGAGAGGAUGACCAGCCACACUGGAACUGAGACACGGUCCAGACUCCUACGGGAGGCAGCAGUGGGGAAUAUUGCACAAUGGGCGCAAGCCUGAUGCAGCCAUGCCGCGUGUGUGAAGAAGGCCUUCGGGUUGUAAAGCACUUUCAGCGGGGAGGAAGGCGGUGAGGUUAAUAACCUCAUCGAUUGACGUUACCCGCAGAAGAAGCACCGGCUAACUCCGUGCCAGCAGCCGCGGUAAUACGGAGGGUGCAAGCGUUAAUCGGAAUUACUGGGCGUAAAGCGCACGCAGGCGGUCUGUCAAGUCGGAUGUGAAAUCCCCGGGCUCAACCUGGGAACUGCAUUCGAAACUGGCAGGCUAGAGUCUUGUAGAGGGGGGUAGAAUUCCAGGUGUAGCGGUGAAAUGCGUAGAGAUCUGGAGGAAUACCGGUGGCGAAGGCGGCCCCCUGGACAAAGACUGACGCUCAGGUGCGAAAGCGUGGGGAGCAAACAGGAUUAGAUACCCUGGUAGUCCACGCUGUAAACGAUGUCGAUUUGGAGGUUGUGCCCUUGAGGCGUGGCUUCCGGAGCUAACGCGUUAAAUCGACCGCCUGGGGAGUACGGCCGCAAGGUUAAAACUCAAAUGAAUUGACGGGGGCCCGCACAAGCGGUGGAGCAUGUGGUUUAAUUCGAUGCAACGCGAAGAACCUUACCUGGUCUUGACAUCCACAGAACUUUCCAGAGAUGGAUUGGUGCCUUCGGGAACUGUGAGACAGGUGCUGCAUGGCUGUCGUCAGCUCGUGUUGUGAAAUGUUGGGUUAAGUCCCGCAACGAGCGCAACCCUUAUCCUUUGUUGCCAGCGGUUCGGCCGGGAACUCAAAGGAGACUGCCAGUGAUAAACUGGAGGAAGGUGGGGAUGACGUCAAGUCAUCAUGGCCCUUACGACCAGGGCUACACACGUGCUACAAUGGCAUAUACAAAGAGAAGCGACCUCGCGAGAGCAAGCGGACCUCAUAAAGUAUGUCGUAGUCCGGAUUGGAGUCUGCAACUCGACUCCAUGAAGUCGGAAUCGCUAGUAAUCGUAGAUCAGAAUGCUACGGUGAAUACGUUCCCGGGCCUUGUACACACCGCCCGUCACACCAUGGGAGUGGGUUGCAAAAGAAGUAGGUAGCUUAACCUUCGGGAGGGCGCUUACCACUUUGUGAUUCAUGACUGGGGUGAAGUCGUAACAAGGUAACCGUAGGGGAACCUGCGGUUGGAUCACCUCCUUA